AUCAAUUAAGUUAUAAAAUACUAGUAGCAGCAUGGAAUUAUAGCACCACCUUGUGGUUAAAUGCCAAUAUUUUACCUUUUAGAAAAACGAGAUUUCCCUUCAAAUAAUAAUUUUUCCCUUUUGAAAAAUUCAAUUUUAAAAGGAAACAGUUUUGAAGUUUUCUUAUGUAAGUUAGAAGAAAAGUUAUCUCUUCUUUUAUUUUUUCUUUAUACAGUAUAGAUAUAUACACAAUGAAAUGACUUAAAACAUUUCUAGUGUAUAGACAGUGGGCAAAAGAUAAGUAUAUAUUGAAAAUAUAAAAUAUUUCAUAUAUAUUAUCCAGUGGAAAUUUGGAAUCCAAAUUUUCUUAAACUUUUCUCUAAUAACUUUUGUCUAACAACUAUCUAACGGACUAAUGAACUCAUAACACAUCAUACAUUUACACCUACAAAGAGUCUUGACAACAUGAUUUUUGGAAAAAUAAAGCAAAUUUGACUUUAUUGAAGUUAUUGAAGCAAUCAACAAGUUGUUAUUUUUAAAAGUGUUCUGUUUUAGGCAGUUUGGUUUGCAGUCUUAAACUAACCACUGUUGAUUAACUUGAGAAGGUGAAGCAGGGGAGUUCUGAAGAGAUUAUCUGGAGCUACAUAAUUAACCCUAAGUUAAAUUAAAUGUUCACUUUCAUUCUUUUCAUUCUCACAUAAGCUGGAUGAAAAACAUCAUACUACCGACAAAGGUGUCAGUAGCUUGUGCUGCCCUUUCUGUACCAUGCUCUGAAUAGGUCUAGGUAGAGAUAAUAUGGAAAUACUAUAAAGAAUACAUAAGGUAAAAUACUAGUCAGAAAGGGUUCAAAAGAAGUUAACAUCAACUAUGUGAAGAUUCUAGGUAGAGCUAAGAACUAUUGAGUUGGAAAAAAAUAGUAUCAUGUUUGUUUGUUUUCCUCUAUUUUUUUACAUAAUGUUGUAAUAUAUUCUUUUAAAAAUAAAACUUGAAAACGUUGGAACUUUGUUUCAUGCCAUUCAUUACUCAUAGCUUUAUAUAAUUGAUACACAUUUGGGGAAGCAUAAAUUUUUUUUUUAAAAAAGCCUCGUCAAUUUUAUAAACUACAGCGCUUUUUGAACUCAAAUAACCUUGUCACUUUGAUUUUUACUUUUUAACAAUUCCCCAGGUUUGUCUCCUUUCUUUGAAACUGAAGGACAUAAAAAAGGUGAAGUAGAGGUAAUGUAAAACAGUCAACUACAAAAUUAAAGCUUUAAUUGUGUCGGGCAGGUUUCUUAUACUACUCAGAGAAGAAACCUGGAAAAUCAGUACAGCACUGAUAGCAGUAGCACAUUCGGAACAUGCAUACUUACUUUUGAAGAGGAAAUUUUUUAAAAUUCAUAUUAGUUUUAUCAUGAUUUAUGUUUAUUUAUAAUAUUUGUGGGAAUUAGGACUAUAUAAGAAUAUAUGGUUUGGUUUUUGUUUUUUAUUCCUCAGCAAAGUCCACUAAAUUACUAGUAAAAGUUGGAUUUGAUUUUGCUUUUUAAUUGUUUAAGUGUAAAAUAUUAAUCUCAACAUUUUAAAAUUAAAAACAGAGUACUUAAUAAGCAUCUCAAAUGCAUAAAUUAUUUUAAUUUUACAUUAGGGAGAUGGGUAGUAAGAAGAAACCUAGAGAAUCACCGGAAAGUUGAACAGUUGGGGAAUCAGAGUGAUGAGAAGGCUGAAUAUUUUGGAAUAGUUCCUAAUUUGUUUCAGUCCUUUGGUUCACUUAAAUCGUUAUGUACUUGGAGUGCAAAUCCUUUGUUUCAGUCCUUUGGUUCACCUAAGUUGUUAUGUACUUGGAGUGCAAAUCAUCUUAUUAAAUCAUGAGAUGUAGCUCUUCAAUUCGUUUGUUGUUGAAACCCUAAGAGGCACUUGUGACAAUGCAACAGAAUUUUGUAUGUGUUUCUUAUGUCUCUUGACCGUCCCUGUAGAUGGACUUUUGCAUUUUUCCAGUAAUGUUUGCCCCAGGUAGACCACCUUUCUGGGUCCUCCAUUAACAGUAUUUCUAUUUUUGUUACCUUGUCUCUGAAACUUCUGAGGUUUUCUAAGACUAUGUAUAUUAGGAUAUUUAUGAAAAAAGGCUUUAAAAUAAACUUUGGAAUAGUUAUUUGUAAUUACAGUGAUAAAACUGUCAAUCUGAAUUAGAGUAAAGAUUGAUCAUUUUUAGACCCAUGACUGGCUCACUUUUUUCUAUUUUUCCCAUUCCCCACUUUGAUGAGGAAGCAUUACCUUCUGUAAGUCCUCAUGAAGUGGAGGAUGUUUUGUUUGCGUGCCCUUUGCUAUUGUAUGGGAGGCAAAACUUUACCAUCUUAAGGUCUCUGGCUAGGCCUGAUAAUUAAAUUGAUGUAAGGUAAAUUAGCAGGAGAAAAACAAAUGGAUUUUCCAAUGUACGUGGGUGCUCCAUAGGAAAAUGAAGACCCAAAGAAGUUGCAAAACCUAAAUGCUUAUACAGUGGGUUGAAUGAAGAGUAGCAAUUGUGGAAAAGUAACUGUAUGAAAAGACUAAAGGAAGGUAAGAGUUAUUUUAACAAAGACCAUUUGUACGGAUUUUUCUCCACUUUAACUCAUCUCUGGUAAUAAGAGUGUUUCUUCUUUCCUUGUACAGGGAGGGCAUCUUUCACAGGUAAGUUUUCUCUGCUUGGUGAUAAGAAUGUUUCUUUUUUCCUGGUGCAUCUGCUGGUUUUCAAGUUCCUUUAGCUCAAAAUAAUCUUAUGCCAAAGUGGCAUAUUUUAUGGUGGCAUAUUCUGCCACACUUCACCGUCAAAAACAGUAUAUAGAAUCUCCCUCAAAGAUUACUACUGCUACUGCUGCUGCUGCUGCUACUGCUACUGUUACUAAUAAUCCAUCCCCUGCCUAAGCCCUGUUACUUAUACUGCUCUAUUCUUUAUCUUUUAUAUUAUUUCAUACAUUUAUCUCCUUUCUCAUGGCCACUGUAUUCAAGGUUUCUCAUUCUUUACUUGCACUAUUCACUGAUCUUGCCUCUCAAUGUAUCCAUGCCACUACCAAAGUGUGUGUGUGUAUAUAUUUGAAAUUGAUUAUGCCAUGUUGCUGCUAAAAAUGUAUCUUUGUGUUUCUUUUAUUCCUAAUGCGUAGAGCCCAGCUUCUUAUGCUGGACAGCAAAGAUCUUUUUUUGAAGUCUUUCUUUCCAGUGUCAUCUUCUAUAACUCUAUAGAGAACCUAAAUACACAGAACUCUUAAAAUCUGCUUUCAGACACUCUUUCUUCUGUCUAGAAUGACUUUUCCUUUCAACUGGCAAGUUUCUGCUUAUCCUUAAAGACCCAGUACCUUUCUUGGAAAAGCUUUUCUCAACUGUAGAGUCCAAAUUAUCUACUUCUGUCUCUUUGCUGCUUUAGUGCCCUUUUCAUACAUUUGAUUUUUGUACCCACUUUAUUUAUAUGACUUUAAUUCUCAUUGGUCUUCCAGCUUUCAGUAUUUUUUCUAAUGUUCAUUUCUUCUAGUGCCUAUCAUUAUUCAUUACAGACUAAAUGGUACUAAUAAUUAUUUGUUGACUAAAUGAAUAUCAAAUACAUUAUAAUUAGUGUUCCAGAUAAGCAAGGUUUUAUCAAGCUAGGGCCUGGUCAAUCAUAUUGUAUUCUUUCUAUGGAAGAAAUGUAUUGACAGAAGAAAAAUAUAAUCAUGAAUUCUAGCAAAGAGUUGGCCAGAGAUGACUAGCUCAUUGAUAGGUUAAUGAAUACAUUUAGAAUGAAAGUUGAUUAAAGUGUCUACUAAUGCCAGUCAGUGUGCCCAGCAGUGGAUAUAUGCAGAGAAAAAGAUAGAAAUGGUUCCUGUUCUUACUGAGCUAAUAGCUAAGUAGCAAAGACAAUUAAAUAAGCAAUAGCAAUGUGUAGUACUGUGAUAAGAGAAGAAUAAGGCAUUCCAAUGAGGCAUCAGAUAGAGGGAAAUAAUGGGAUUUGGAAUCAGGUAUCAAACUGAUAGCAUGGAAGGAAGUGAUAUUUAUCUUAAUUCCUAAAGGCUGAAUAGAGUACAGCCAGGGCAGAUGGUUUGAGCAAAAGGACUAGCGUAAACAAAGACUUACAAGGAAGAGCAUUUGAAUUUGAAAGAGAUUCACUAGGACUAGCAUACUAAGUGUGCAGUGUGUGUGUGUGUGUGUGUGUCUAGAGGUCAGUUGACACAGGCCUAAGGGACAGCUUGUAUCUUAUUUACUGAAACAUUUAAACAGCAGAAUAUGAUAACCAGAUCUGAGUUUUUGAAGGAUUUAAUUUACUGCUUUAAUAUGGAGAAUGGGUAAGGGGGUAAAACUAGAGGCAGAGAAACCAGUGGGAGGCUAUUACAGCAAUUGAAGAAACAUAUAGUAAGGGUGACUUGAAUUAUGAUGACAGUGGAGAUGGAGGGAAAUAAUGGGGUUUGGAGCGAAUGUAGUAUAAGGACUGUCUUCGAUUUAGUAUUUGCAUUAGGAGAUAGAAAGAUACUACACUAGUUUUAAUCUGAUAUCUUGCCUAAUUGGUCCUCUUCUGGAAUCUUGUUAGAAAUGCAAAAUCUCAAGCCAUGCUCUUGACCUACUACAUCAGAUGCUGCAUUACACAAAGAACCCAAAGAAAUUUGUAGUUACCUUAAGUUCAAGAAACAUUAGUUUACAUUAACAUACUUCCUGUUUUAUUAUCAUAACUAACAUUUGAAUCUAAGCCUUCAAAUUCAGAUUUUCCUGAAUUGCUUUCAUCUAAGCAUAUACAGCUUUACAUAAUUCAUAUUCAGCAUCUUGGACUCCUUAGCACCUUUGGUUAGAGUUUUAGGGUUUUGAGUGCAUUUAGUUAAAUGAUUUUUUUUUCCUCAGUCAAAUGAUACACAAUUAUGAUUUAAAACAUUCUUUCUUCAAAAUUGGGUUUAAGCUUUGUACAAAUAACUUUUUUGGUCCUCAUCAAUAGUGAUUCUUUACUAAGCAUGCACAAUUCACACCAGUAUUCUCCAUCUUUGAAAUACCUGUGUUUAUGCUGAGAAAUUUUCUAGUUUUUUCUUUAAAUUAUGUUGCCCAAAGUACAACAGGUAGUCUUCUGCCUACAUAUUUACUUUUCUGUAUUGUGUCACAGGGUGAGUUUUCUGAAGAUAUGGAAAGCAAUUAUGAGGGAUCCGUAUUUCACAUUUAAUUUAAAAUUCAGUGAUCUUACCAACUUUUUUCUAAAAACCAUUUGUCAAGUACAACCCCAUUUGAGUAGUAUUAAAAUGAAAGAGUAAAAAAUGCAUCUUAAGUUUAAGAAAAUACAAUAUUUAGAAAGCAGAUUCCAUAGAUGAAUUAGGUGCAAAGAGAGCAAGAGGAGAGGAAAACAGAAACUACUAAGAGUUCAUAAGCUUUACCCGAUCAAUGUGUGUCUUCCUUCAGAUUUGCCAUCUUCUGUUUUAGUAAGCUCUUGAUUUAUUGGGUGAGAAUCUGACUAGUGUUUUUAAAUUCUGAUCAUUGUUUUCCUUUUGAUAUUCAAACUAGGAGAUUUAAAACAACACUAUAGCUGAGAACUUUUAAAUGAACAUAAAUAACAAACAUCAAAAUGCUUAAAAUUUAUUUUUUCACAUUGCCAUGAGAAAGCAGAAAAAUGUUUAAAAUUUAAAAGCAUUUCAGUAUUCCAAUUAUCCUCUCACUUUUGCACCUUUUAAAAAAAAAUCACUGUUCUCUGCCACCUUCAGUUUUUAUAUAUUCUUUUUCACUUUCUGAGUGUGCUGGACUUUCCAUGACUUUACAAAUGCUGUUCCAUCACCUAAAAUGUUCAUUAUUCUCAACUUUUAAUUUCCUAUCAUCUGGCUGAUGAUAGGAACCACAUAAGCUGAUGGAAUUCUACUCAUCCUAGGGGUUUCAGAUUAAACAUAAUUCCCUCCAAAUAAUGUUGCCUAGGUCCCUAGAAUAGGUUAGAUUCCCUGUUUAUGCUAUUAAAAGCAUCCUGUAAUUUUUAUUUUAUUUCACCUUGUACAUUAUUAAACCUACUAUUUGCAAUUGUUGCUAAGGUUGUUCUCCCUGCUAAAGUAUGAGUGUUACAUGAAAAGGGAUUCUGAAUUAUGUUUACUGAUAUAUCCUCCAUGCUUAGCACAAUGCUUGGUACAUAGGACAUUCUCAUUUUAUUUUGUGGCUUGACAAACACUUAAGACAUCCUCCCAUCCCCCAUAUUACAAUAGAAUUCAAAUUUUGUAGGCAGCCAUUACUGAUUUCUAAAUUCAAUAUCUCAAAUUAGUUCCAUUUUAAUCUAAUGUCAACUAUUUAUCAUUACACUACAUUUCUGUAUUUGGUAAUAUAUUUAAAUGUAGAAUAUACUAUGUAGCAUUAAUGCCCAAGUUGGUAACUUUUAAAAUAGUUUCUCUGUACUUUAAGUACUGGUAUUUUUGGAGCCUAACUAUGAGUUUUUCCUAAUAAAAAGGUGAGGAAAUAUGAACUAUGAUAUUUUUGAAAAUUUACUCAAAAAAGUAUACAGGUCUCAUUUAAAGCACUAAAAGGCAGCAAAUUUUUAGAGAAAAUGAGAUUUCUACUUGGAGAACUAUGGCAUACAAGGUAUUAAAAAAUGUAAAAAAACUCCUGCAACAAAUCAUCAAACAUUCUUGAAAAAGACAUAAUAAAUAUUUAUCAUAGCUAUCACAGGAAACUAAAAUAAAUCCCUGAAGGCCAAAAGAAGAGAAAGCAGAAAUUCAGAGUAUUAUGCUUGCUUGAAGCAGCAGCUUCCCUGAGACAUUAUUGAUAAUAGAAACCUAAGGCCUUUAGAGGUUUUCCCCCUUCAUAUUUUUUCAUCAGCCUUUAUUGUGUAAUAAUUUACAUACAAUAAAAUUAACCAAUUUAAGUCAUAUAUUCAUAUAACCACCACCUUAGGUAAGAUAUAGAACAUGCCUCUCUGCAGUCAUUCCUCUGAUACCAAACCAGGCAUGUUCUUGCCCAUCCUGCAAUAAGCCAAUCACUGAGACAGUAAGUUUUGCAGUAGAGGAAAGAUUUUAUUCAUGAGGCAUCCAAGUGAGGAGGUGGGAGAACACCCCUCAAAUUCUCCUCCUUGAAGUUAGGGUCUUAGGGAUAUUUAUGGGAUAAAGGAGCAAGGCAGUCCAAGGUAUGGAAAAAGGUGAUUGGUAGUAAAAAGUGAGAUAAUUGCCAAUCUCUGCAAGUGCAGUUAAGCUUCAUUGCUUUUCAAAGGAUGCAUGUUCCCAAAAUGGUAUUAUUAGCACAAUCUGAGGGUGGAGUUUUGGGCCCUCUGAUGUCAAAAGGACAUUCUUUGGACAUUUAUACAGGCCAAUUGGAGGGUCAGUGGUAUCAGUCAGCUUGAGCUAGACAAGAGCUGAUCCUAAUUUCCUGAAAAACAAGCAACCAUUACUAUGGUGACUUAUACAUCAGAGAUGUUAUCUAUAAGGAAACCAGUGGAAGUUUAGUUACAUAUUGCUUAAUUGCAUGACUUUUAGCUAUGUAGGUUUUAAAAUCAACUAGAAGCAAGCAACUACAAGCAAGGCAAGUUUCACCUUGUCCUUCGGCAACCACUGCUUUGCAUUCUGUCAUUUUAAUGUUGCUGUUGCUAGAGUUUUAUAUGAGUAUCAUCAUACCAUAUUUAGUCUUUGUGUCUGGCUUCUUCCCUGUAGCAUAAUGCUUCUGAGACUCAUCUGUGUUGUUGUAUGUAGCAGUUCAUUCCUUUAUAUGGCCAGUCAGUAUUUCAGUGUGCUAACAUACAAUAAUUUCAUCAGUUGAUGGACAUUGUGAUAUGUCUACUUUGGAGGUAUUAAAUAUUAUAAAUAAAUCUGCUAUGAACAUUGGAAUAUGUGUCUCUGGAAACAUGUUUUUACUUCUCUUGGGUAAAUACCUAUAAGUGGGAUGGUUGGGUUGAAUAGUAGAGUUAUGUUUAAGUUCAUGAAAAACUGCCAAACUCUUUUCCAAAGUGGCUGGCCCGUUUGCUUUUCUCGCAAGCAAUGUAUGAGAGUUUCAGUUGCUCUGCAUCCUCACCAACGCUUGAUUUUUUCAGUUUUCUAGUGAAUGUGUGUGGUGUAAGGCCAAAAGUUAAGGCACAAUGCUAUAUACUGUCUUGAUAUCUGGUAAAACUGAGAGAGUCCCAAAUGGCCUAACCAGAGGAUUCCCCUCCCCACUCUCCUUCCAUUGGUAAAGUACCCUAGCCAAACAACCUCUCCUUAACAGAGGGACCAGACACUUACCCCUGAGUAGCAGAGUUUCAAUUCCAUGCCAGCUAUGAAAUUAUUCCAGGAAACCAAUCACAUUUUCCUGUGAGAACCAGGGAAUGUGUCACCCUCUUCAUAUUAUAAACUCUGCCUCCCACAUCUCUCAGCUGUCUUCUGUUCCCAAAUGCAACCUCCCUAGAGCAUGGAGUGUCCUCCCCUGCAAGCUAAUUUCCCUACAUAGAGUACUCCAUCCUCUUGUUCCAGUCUCAGCUGGCUGCUCCAUGGGCUACUUCAUAGCUUUCAUCACAGAGCUUUGCUUGGCCUCUCUCCUGUGUGUAUCUCUGUUUCUUGGAUUCUGUGCUUUCAUUUUCCCGCUGUACUCUGAUAUUUCAGUGAAGUUUAUCCACGAAGUCCAGAAUUCUGCCUGGAAACCAGCUUCCUCCUCAGCUCCAGCUCUUUUAAUGGGUACAUCCAAACCGAUGACUUCUCCUUCCUGCUGCAUAGGAGAGAAGGAAGCUGUGUUCAGAUGUAUAUGCAAAGACCUGUCAGAACACACACAAAUGAGAGAAUGGCGAAGGAGUAAUCGGCAUGAAAACAGGUAUUCAGACUCAAUGAUAACUAAAUCAACAUCAGGCUCCUACUACGGUUUUUUCCUUAUUAUUAGUCUUCUGAGAGGGAUGCUCUCCGUGAGCACCCUGGAGAGUGCUGGCUGCAUCCUUCUUGGAGAAAGGCAACAAUGCUUGAAUUCCUCUCUGUGAACUGUUUCUGUUCAGAAUCCCUGUUCAUAAAUACUGAGAGUGUGUCAGCUGGUGACUCCAGAGGAAAGGGGAAGCUGCUAUGCAUGAGGAAAUUGUUCGGCUUUGGCAAGCCAUUUGGGCCUUCAUUUCUGCUGUUUUGAAUGUACCCCUCUCAAUUCCAUGCGUGGGAAACCAAAUUCCCUAUGUGGCAGUCUUGAACUCCUGACCUCGUGAUCUGCCCGCCUCGGCCUCCCAAAGUGCUGAGAUUACAGGUGUGAGCUACCGCACCCUGCCCCUAUGUGGCAGUAUGGAGAGGUGGAAUGUUUAAGAAGAGUCUGCACAGUCCUCACCAGGAAGAAGGCUCUCACCAGAUACUGAGCCAUGCCCUUGGACUUCCAAGCCACCUGAAUUCUUUGAUCACAACAUUAUCUUUGAUUUCAAGACUGAAAUGUUUCCUGAAGAAAAUUCUCUGGAGACCCCAAGGCCAAUGAAGAGAGAGUGACAAUUAACAGUGAUUCUUAAAAAUCCACUGGGAAUUUGAAAUCACUGGAGGACAAGCAUCAUGAAGAAAAGGGGAAUCCCUCUGAGGACAUAAAGUUGAACCAGGAAUAGGUAGCAGGAGGAUUCACAAGAAAGAAGGUAGUAGACAUCCUCCCUGAAAUUCAUGAAUUGGUCUUUCUACAUAGCCAGUGCAAAGCAUAUGGACCAUUUUGAGGGGUAUACUGAUUGGUGAGCAUUUGCCAGUACUCAAAAAUCCUAUCUGGACACCAUACCACCAUAUGAGAGAAGCUUAUGAGUGCUGCCUUAACAAACUACUACAGACUGGAUGGGUUAAACAAUGGCAGUUUAUUGUUUCAGAGGUCCAGAUCCGGGAUGUCUCAGACAAAGGUUUCGACAAGGUUGGUUCCUGCUGAAGGUUAUGGAGAAUCUUUCAUGCCUCUCUCCUAGCUUCUGGUGGUUUGCCUGCAAUCUUUAGCUUAUGGAAGCAUAACCCGUGUCCGCCUUCAUCUUCAUAUGGCAUCCUCCCUGCAUGUAUGUCUGUGUCCAAAUUUCCACUUUUUGUAAGAACACUGGGCAUACUGGAUGAGAGGCCUACUCUCCUCCAUUGUUAUUUCGUCUUAAGCAGUUAUAUCUGCAAUCACACUAUUUCCAAAUAUGGUCACAUUGUGAGGUACUGGGAGUUAGGACUUCAACCUAUGAAUUUUAAGGGGACACCAUUCCAUCCAUAACGGUGCCAGUUUGGUAAAAUUUCAUUUAAUUUACUGUUCUUGGAAACCUAUCAUUUAGGUUGUGUGUUCCUUCUUAAAUAGGACUUCUUAAUGAAUGAAGCCCAUUAACUUGAAAACUUUUAAUUAACAAAGUACAACUUCUAAGCUACCUACAUAGAAACUUUCACAUGUAUCUCAUAUGGAAAAACCUACCUAUAUGAAAUGAGAGAAGGUCAUCCAAGUAAUUUUGUAAUGAGUGAGGAGAGCACAGUUGAACACAGGAGUCCAAGUUGUUCCUCCUAUAGGUCAGUCCUAAAAUUCAGAACUCGUCUUUCAAUGUCAGUGUCAGGUCCAAGUUGCCUGAAGGAAUCCUAAUGCCUUUUUGUUCUUGUUUUUCCAAGAUAAUUACUAUCUGGGCUAAUGGUCUGUUUUUGAUAGACUGUUUCUAUCUUGACUGGAUACAUUCUUUCUAAGUCUUUCUUCACCCUCUUAUCCUAUUGGUUAAAGUAAAUUCUUUGUGAAGCUUGUCUCUAAUCUCUAGAUAUGGGGUCUGGUAAUAGGUAAUCUACUCAUUCUUUUCUGUACACUUCAUCUUUAAGGAGCAGGUUCGGCUGGGUAGAGGUCAUUUCAUUUCUGUUUUAUCUCUAGAAUACAUUCACCCACCCUAUGAAAACAUUUAGUUCUAACCAAAUGUACUACACACCUAUCACAGUCUCCCUACCCCCGACACGUGUAUACACACACAUGUGCAAACACACAAACUCUUCCUGUGUUGUGGGAAACUUUUAGGGGCAGCUACACAUGGAAUCUUCAUUAAAACGCCCUGAGGAGUUUGAGGCUGUUGUAUCAUACUUGAAAAUGAAGAGUAUCUUAUUUUUAACAUUGAACUGUUAAUGCAUGCAGGGAAUUGGGAAGAAAUGUGAGUCUGACUAAAAGAUUAUUAAAGAAAAAGCCAUAGGAUUAACUAGAGUGAAAACAGCAAGAGAGUUAUGAAAGUAAUUUUAUUUGGAGUUUUUGAAUAGCUAAAUUUUCCAAUUUGUUUUCUGGAUUCUGGUAGGAAAAUAUACAAGCUGUUUCUCCUCCCUGAGAAAAAGCUGAUAUCAGAAAUAAGUAAAAAUUGUAGAUAUAUCUUUUUCCAUUUACUAAAAUUCUUAUGGAAAAAUGGCUUCCAAUUGUCCAAGGAGGGAUUUUGAAUAAUAUGCAUGUGUGCUUGCAUGAUUGACAGAGAAUUUUUGAGUCUAUUUUCUGUAUAAACAUGUAUGUAUAGAAGGGAAGUUUUAAAAAAUAAGGUAAAGUGUGAUUAUUUUGAGCUUAGUUUUUUUCUUUCAAAAUUAUGAAUUUAAAAGAAGUAUUCAUCCAAAUAUUUCAAGAUUCCUUUCAAUAAGUACGAUUGAGGCACUAUUCCUUUCUUAUGAGACCUUGCCCCUGGUGUCUGUGACAUCAUAAGAGAGUGAUUCAAGAGGAGUAAAUGAGCAGUUACACACACACACAGGCACGCUUAAAUGUUGGCAUUCCUCUUUCCAAGUCUCAUGUUCUUAAAGACAGAGUUAAUGUUUUUGCUAAAGAUAGUGGUGUUAGGCCGCACGGUGGCUCGUGCCUGUAAUUUCAGCGCUUUGGAAGUCUGAGGCAGAUG